rnacentral:tRNA from 1 species
UCCGGUGCGAAGCUGAAGGUUACUUCCACUGUUAAUGGGGCGGUCGCGGGUUCGAAUCCCGUCAGCCGGAUCCA